rnacentral:rRNA from 1 species
AAAGCAGAUCGCAUGAUCAGCUUUUAAAAAGGCGGCGUAAGCUGUCGCUAUGGGAUGGCCCCGCGGUGCAUUAGCUAGUUGGUAAGGUAAAGGCUUACCAAGGCGAUGAUGCAUAGCCCGAGUUGAGAGACUGAUCGGGCCACAUUGGGGACUUGAGACACGGGGCCCAAACUCCUACGGGGGGAGGGGGCAGCAGUGGGGGGAAUCUUCCACAAUGGACGCAAGUCUGAUGGAGCAACGCCGCGUGAGUGAAGAAGGUUUUCGGAUCGUAAAGCUCUGUUGUUGGUGAAGAAGGAUAGAGGUAGUAACUGGCCUUUAUUUGACGGUAAUCAACCAGAAAGUCACGGCUAACUACGUGCCAGCAGCCGCGGUAAU